GACGAACGCUGGCGGCGUGCUUAACACAUGCAAGUCGAGCGGAAAGGCCCUGCUUUUGUGGGGUGCUCGAGUGGCGAACGGGUGAGUAACACGUGAGUAACCUGCCCUUGACUUUGGGAUAACUUCAGGAAACUGGGGCUAAUACCGGAUAGGAGCUCCUGCUGCAUGGUGGGGGUUGGAAAGUUUCGGCGGUUGGGGAUGGACUCGCGGCUUAUCAGCUUGUUGGUGGGGUAGUGGCUUACCAAGGCUUUGACGGGUAGCCGGCCUGAGAGGGUGACCGGCCACAUUGGGACUGAGAUACGGCCCAGACUCCUACGGGAGGCAGCAGUGGGGAAUAUUGCACAAUGGGCGGAACCCUGAUGCAGCAACGCCGCGUGCGGGAUGACGGCCUUCGGGUUGUAAACCGCUUUCGCCUGUGACGAAGCGUGAGUGACGGUAAUGGGUAAAGAAGCACCGGCUAACUACGUG
rnacentral:rRNA from 1 species